AUGGCGUAUCACCAGGUUCCAUUAGAAGAUGGGGAUAAAGAGAAAACCGCGUUUGCGACGCCAAGAGGAGGUCUAUAUCAGUUUGUGACUAUGCCGUUCGGUCUUUGUAAUGCGGCCGGAACGUUCGAGCGAAUUAUUGAGAAAGCGUUGAGUGGACUACAAUGGCAUAUUGCCGUUUUGUACCUAGACGACAUUGUAGUUUUUGGAAAAACGUUUGACGAGCAUUUUGAUAAUUUAGAAAAAGUACUCGACAAACUAAUGUUAGCCGGAUUAAAAUUGAAACCUAAAAGUGCACUUUUCUUCAGAAAGAAAUCACAUUUUUAGGUCACGUGGUAUCAAAAUCCGGGGUGAGAACAGAUCCGGCCAAAUUAGAUGCGGUAAAUAAAAUACCAGCUUCCAACAACAAUUACAGAGGUACGAAGUUUUCUCGGCCUGACCUCGUACUACCGUAAGUUUGUAAGAAGUUAUUCGAAAAUUGCAAAACCUCUGUUUGAUCUCACUAAGAAGGGACAUUGCUGGAAGUGGACAACGGAUUGUGAAUCAGCGUUUCAAGAACUUAAAAACGGUUGACUUCAGCACCUAUAUUAGCAUACCCGCAAGUAAAUGGAGCUGAAUUCAUACUGGAUACCGACGCCAGUAAUUUUGCUAUUGGCGCGGUAUUGUCACAAGUACAAGAUGGAACGGAGAGAGUUAUUGCCUACGGAAGUAGAUCGUUAGAUAAACCGGAACGCAAUUAUUGUGUGACCCGGAGAGAAAUGCUAGCUGUAGUAUUUUUUACCCGACAUUUUAAACAUUACUUAUUGGGUAGACGUUUUACUUUGCGUACCGAUCAUGGAUCGCUUACAUGGUUACAAAAUUUCAAAGAACCAGAUGGGCAGAUUCAUCGUUGGAUCCAACAGUUGAGUCAAUUCCACAUGAAGAUUGUCCAUAGACCUGGUGUCCGUCAUGGUAAUGCCGAUGCUUUAUCUCGCAUUAUCACGUCGACAUCCGAUAUUUGCAAACAAUGCAAAAUGCCCUGGGAUUAUGAAUACCAGGGACCUGAAGAAGUAGAAAUAAUUGAGAUGCAGGAAGGAGACGGAGUAAAAUUGAUGAAUAAAAAGUUUUGGAAGGUCAGUCUAUAGGUGGAGUUACUGAUAAAAGUCCUGAAAGUCCCACAAUUGUCAUCAUCAAUAAUUCUGGAGACAUGGAUGGGCAACUAGAUUGUAGUAUUCCAGGAGAAAUACCUAUUGUAAGGAGGGGAGAAAGGCCCAAUCGGCCCCGCCAGCCAGACGAAAACCACCCCAAAAAUAGCAUUGGACAUAACAUCUAUGAGACAGCAACAAGAAGAGGAUGAUAUAAUGGGGAAAUUUUAAAACUAAAAAUUGAAAAUGCGGAAAAACCUUCAACAACGGAAAUAAGUAGUAAGAGCAAAGAAUUCAAAUUUUGGAUAUCAAGAUGGGAGUUGUUGGAAGUUAAAAAUGAUGUCCUGUGUUUGUAUUGGGUUGAAAAGAACAACUGUGCAAAAUGGCGUGUGUGCGUGCGCACCAAAGUCCGCAGUUAGUGGUAUACUUUGGUACUUACAUGACGCUAGAACCUCAGGUCAUUUAGGGAUAAAAAAAAACAGUUGAGCGAGCCCAUAUAUGUCCGUUUUAUUGGUGGAGUAUGCAAAGAUCGGUGAAAGAGUAUGUUCAUAACUGUGAAUAUGCGAAGAGCGGAAAAAUCCAGCGCACAAGAAGAGGCACGCUCUGAAAACACACUUAGUCGGUGCUCCCAUUCGAGAGAAUAGCUACGGAUAUCGCUGGCCCGUUUCCAUUGUCUGACAACAAAAACCGUUAUGUGCUCGUAGUAGGGGACUAUUUUACUAAGCUUACAGAAGCAUACCCGAUGCCAGAUAUGCAGGCGGAAACAGUUGCCGACAUUAUUUUUAGAGCAUGGGUUAAAAGAUACGGCUGUCCUAUUGAAUUACACUCCGACCAGGGCAGACAAUACGAAAGUACUCUUUUUCAAAACAUGUGUGAGUUACUUGAAAUAAAGAAAACCAGAACAACUCCAUUGCAUCCUCGUUCUGAUGGGAUGAUAGAACGUAUGAACCGAACGAUUCAGGACAUAUUAUCAAAGUACAUCAAGUCCCACCAGAGAGAUUGGGAUCAACACUUAGAUUUUCUUACCAUGGCCUAUAAUUCAACACCUCAUGAAAGUACAGGUUUAACACCACACCGUUUGGUAUACGGACAGGAAAUGAAAUUCCCCUUGGAUAUUAUUUCUGAAAGAAUUGAGCAAGACGAAACCCAGUCUGAGUUUGCAUCUGAUUACGCCAAUAAAUUAGAAGAAAGGUUGCGGGAGGCACAUGAAAUAGCGAGAGAGCAUUUAAAAGUGUCAUCAGAGCGACAGAAAUUUCAAUACGACGGAAAUGUUAAAGAAAAAAUAUAUUCUGACGGACAGUUAGUGUGGAGAAAUCAAAAACAAAAUAUUCCAGGAAGAAAGCCAAGAUUU
rnacentral:sRNA from 1 species